rnacentral:rRNA from 1 species
UACAGAGGGGGCGAAGCGUUGUUCGGAAUUACUGGGCGUAAAGGGCGCGUAGGCGGCCUGCUAAGUCAUACGUGAAAUCCCAUGGCUCAACCAUGGAACUGCGUGUGAUACUGGCGGGCUUGAAUUCGGGAGAGGGAUGCGGAAUUCCAGGUGUAGCGGUGAAAUGCGUAGAUAUCUGGAGGAACACCGGUGGCGAAGGCGGCAUCCUGGACCGAGAUUGACGCUGAGGCGCGAAAGCCAGGGGAGCAAACGGG